rnacentral:rRNA from 1 species
CGUGAUCCUCGCUUCGGUGAGGUGAAAGUGGCGAACGGGUGAGUAAUGCAUAGCUAACCUACCCCCGGCUCGGGGAUAACCAGGAGAAAUCUUGGCUAAUACCCGAUAGGCUCGCGGAAUUGCAUGUUUCUGCGAGUAAAGACGGCCUCUUAACAAUGCUGUCAGCCGAGGACGGGACUAUGUCCUAUCAGCUAGUUGGUAGGGCAAUGGCCUACCAAGGCGAUGACGGGUAGCCGACCUGAGAGGGUGACCGGCCACACUGGGACUGAGACACUGCCCAGACUCCUACGGGAGGCUGCAGUCGAGAAUCUUCCGCAAUGGGGGAAACCCUGACGGAGCGACGCCGCGUGCGGGAUGAAGGCCUUCGGGUUGUAAACCGCUGUCACGGAUUAUGAAGGGCCUGGUAUUAAU